AAUAUCGUUACAUACGCUGAUGACACAG
rnacentral:sRNA from 1 species